AUUUAAUGAAAAUUUGCCACUGGCUAUUCAGAAAGAGCUACCGUCGUAAAACAAUUGAGUACGAUUUCAUCCCUGCUGGCCAUACGUCCUCAGUACCAAAUCAUUCAACGAAGCACUGAAGAUAUUUGACUAUUUAAGUGAGCCAGGCUUAGUAGAGAAGCAUACUUUGGAGAGAUCAACCAGUUCAGCUUCAACUUCAACUUCAACUUCAACUAAGAAUCAUGAAAGCCAUUCUCGUCGCUUGUGUUCUUGUUGCUCUCUUUGCUUCUCAGCAAAUUGAAGCUAAAGAAUGUCCUCGGUUCUGUACUAUGCAGUACGCUCCGGUAUGUGGCUCUGAUGGUGUCACCUAUGGCAACGAAUGUAUGCUUCGUGGAGCUUCUUGCAGAAGUGAUAACAAGAUAGAGCUGGUCCACACAGGACAAUGCUAAGAAGACGACCCAUACUCAAGGAAGUGACACAGAAGAAUACAAAAAUAGUUUAGUUUUGGCACGUGCAUGAGUGUAGAUGACAAUACUUCUUGACUUCUUUCAAAACUGUCCGGCGUAGACGUCUAAAUAAAACAGUUAAGCAAUAGAA